UCAUCCSCCYKKUUUUACAAAAACAUGUYUUUUUGGAAAUAAUUUAAAGUYUAAUYUGCCCMCUGAUAAAUAUAUUAAAGGGSUGCAGUAUUUUGACUGUACAAAGGUAGCAUAAUCMUUAGUYUYUUAAUUGGUGACUUGUAUGAAAGAUUGGAUGAAAUAUAAACUGUYUYUAAUUAAUUUAUAAAAUUUAAUUUUUUAGUAAAAAAGSUAAAAUAAUUUUAAAAGACGRGAAGACCCUAUAGAGUUUUAUAAUUUAUUUGAUUWUUAUUAAUAUGUAAAUUUUAAAAUUAAAAUUAAAUAAAUUWUUUUGUUGGGGKGACAGAAAAAUUAAAUUAAMUUUUUUAAAUAAUUAACMUUAAUUUAUGAAUAAAUGAUCCMUUAAUAUUGAUUAAAAGAAAAAAUUACCUUAGGGAUAACAGSGUAAUUUUUUUUUUUAGUUCAAAUAGGAAAAAAAGUUUGCGACCUCGAUGUUGGAUUAAGAUAAAAUUUAAAUGCAAAAGUUAAAAUUUGAUCUCUCGGGCUUCGG
rnacentral:rRNA from 1 species